GCAAACAUAGUUUCAACUCAAACAUUAGACUGUGAUCCUAAAGAUAGGAGCUAAAACCUCCUUGUUUGCC
rnacentral:tRNA from 1 species